GAUGAAGAACGUAGCAAAAUGCGAUAAGUAAUGUGAAUUGCAGAAUUCAGUGAAUCAUCGAAUCUUUGAACGCACAUUGCGCCCGCUGGUAUUCCGGCGGGCAUGCCUGUUCGAGCGUCAUUUCAACCCUCAAGCCCCCGGGUUUGGUUUUGGGGAUCGGCUCUGCCCUUCUGGGCGGUGCCGCCCCCGAAAUACAUUGGCGGUCUCGCUGCAGCCUCCAUUGCGUAGUAGCUAACACCUCGCAACUGGAACGCGGCGCGGCCAUGCCGUAAAACCCCAACUUCUGAAUGUUGACCUCGGAUCAGGUAGGAAUACCCGCUGAACUUAAGCAUAUCAAUAAGCGGAGGA
rnacentral:misc_RNA from 1 species